rnacentral:rRNA from 1 species
GACGAACGCUGGCGGCGUGCCUAAUACAUGCAAGUCGUGCGGACCUUGUUGAAAGCUUGCUUUUAAAAGGUUAGCGGCGGACGGGUGAGUAACACGUGGGCAACCUGCCUGUAAGACUGGGAUAACGCCGGGAAACCGGGGCUAAUACCAGAUCGUUUUUUCCUCCGCAUGGAGGAAAAAGGAAAGGCGGCUUCGGCUGCCACUUACAGAUGGGCCCGCGGCGCAUUAGCUAGUUGGCGGGGUAAUGGCCCACCAAGGCAACGAUGCGUAGCCGACCUGAGAGGGUGAUCGGCCACAUUGGGACGGAGACACGGCCCAAACUCCUACGGGAGGCAGCAGUAGGGAAUCUUCCGCAAUGGACGAAAGUCUGACGGAGCAACGCCGCGUGAGUGAAGAAGGCCUUCGGGUCGUAAAACUCUGUUGCCGGGGAAGAACAAGUGCCGUUCGAACAGGGCGGCGCCUUGACGGUACCCGGACAGAAAGCCACGGCUAACUACGUG